AUCUAUAUGCAUGUUAUAUAGAUGCCUUUAUCUUAUGAGGAAAUUGCGGUGUUCUUUUUGUUCGGGCUCGAUAUUGAAUCGGGCUCGGUAUACAAAUCCUUUUCAAAAUCAACCAGGGCUGAAAGGUAGCAAAAAGUUUAGCUCGCUCAAUUUUUCAAAAAAUUAUUACAAUCUUUUUAACUUAAGUUUUAAUAUUGUCAAAAUAAAUCACAUCAGGUAUUUUGAAAAAGAUUUUAAGCAUUGAUGUUAAUGUUUAACGGUAAUUUGCUUCGGAUUUUAAUGGAUUGAAUUGUAGACAAUUUAUUUUUAAUAAAACCCCCCUUUUGCUAAAUUCUUGAAAUUAAGUACAUUAAAUCAUGCGAUAAAAAUACUUGAACCAUUUCUUUAAAUUGCUUUCACGCAUUCGAUAUGCCACGAGGAAAACCAAAAGGGAACAAGGACAAAGGAGCCACGUGCUCCGGCGCCGGCGGAGGUCCGUCAAGCCUGGACUCGAGGAAGAGAAGGAGAAGAGCGGAGAGUCAACUAGAUUUCCAACAGCCUACCCUCAGUGCCAUACAGGUCACACAAGUGCCUCCGACUGCUGUCGAUGAGCACCAGCAGGCAGCGACUAGCACAGGGAUUGAAAACCCGACAACUAGUGCAAGCACCUGGCAAGGUACGCCUGAAAUGCCCCAAUUGUUAGCAAGCACUAUGUACCAAAUAGCAAUUAAUGUUUCUCAAAAUAUUAAAGCCAAAAUUAUUAGUUCAGCUUAUGUAGACCUUGCUUUGCUGUUGAGUAAUACGAAUGUAAUACCUACAGAAAAGUCUAUCUAUAUCAAUGAAAAGGGGGAACUGAUGACGAGAGAAACAAGUAAACCCUCGGUCAAAAUUGACAGUAUUGAAAAGUGGACAGAUGCGUUCAUUAUAUAUAGCAGUAUUUAUUCAUCAGCCCACAUUGAUUCAGUUCAAGGUUUAUUCAAAUAUUUGCAUGAUGUUAGAUUGGGGGCAGUAAGAGUAGGGGGUCUGGGGUUUAAAAGCUACGAUGAACAAUUCCGCCUAAGGCGUAGCAUGGAUCCCUCAAUUCCAUGGGGAAAGGUAGACAGCGAACUUUGGCUUAUUUACAUGUCUCCAUCUAGCUCAUUGCAAAUUGCUUCCACUGUUUCCCAGCAGUCUACCAACAUAUGUUUUGAUUACAAUUACAAGGGAAAUUGUAUUCGUCCAGUUUGUGUUUAUCACCAUUCAUGCAUCAGGUGCCACGGUAACCACCCAGUAUCCCAAUGCCCGCUUGCACUAUCCUACCCUCAGUCUCAAACUCGGGUCAACAACAUAAGGUUUAACAACCAGGCAAUUCCUAAGUUAGUUAACCAUCAAGCAUUUGCCCCCAUUCGUUUUCGUCCCCGAACACCACAGCCUCGGGUCCCCAGGGGCAACACCCCAAGGCAUAACUGGCCCACCACUACCUAUCAUAACGCAUAUUCCACCAGAACUAUGGGAUAUGGGAAAAACCCCAAUUAAAAUCAACAGUUUGAUUACUUGUCUUGAUGCCUAUCCUAGGAAAGAAUCGGCACUGGAAUUAAAACGGGGAUUUACUGAGGGAUUUCAUUUACAGUACAAUGGGCCUAGGAUACAUAACAUGUCCAAAAAUUUAAGGUCAGCCUCUGAACAUUAUGAAAACUUAAUGGAUAAAGUAGGAAAAGAAAUAAGUAUGGGUAGAAUCAUGGGCCCUUUUCAAGAAAGGCCAAUAUCUAAUCUCCAUAUUUCACCUGUAGGAGUAGUACCUAAAGCUGAUGGGGGGUGGCGUAUGAUUAUGCACCUUUCCUAUCCUAAAUAUGAAAGUAUUAAUUAUUUUAUUGACCCAGAAGUGUGUUCUGUGCGUUAUUCUUCAUUCGACAAUGUUGUGGACAUGAUAUCUUCCCUAGGAAAAGGGGCAUUACUGGGAAAGGUAGAUGUGAAAAGUGCAUUUAGGUUAAUCCCUGUUCAUCCAAGUGACUUCGAAUUGUUAGGUUUUUCAAUUGACUCCUUAUAUUAUGUAGACAAUAUUUCCAGACGAACGCCAAUAAAAGUUACUUCACAUACAAACAAUGCAACUUAAAACUAAAAUAGGUUAUCCCUAAACAUUAAAAUCAUAAAUUUAAUAAAUGGGUUUUUGGUCGUGGGUCAGUUGAAUUGGGCUCCCCUUGUGGGGUGACCUUAAACCUUCAGUUGAAGGUCAUGUGGCAUGUGCGCCCGUCCAUUCAACUGAUGUGACAAGUUUGUGAAAUAAUUAACAAAUAUAUUGUUCGCGGUUAACCCGGAACAAUCAAAUGCUAUUGAUUUAUGCUGCUGCUCAUUUUGUGCUUGUUGCUGCUGCUGCUACCAUAUUGCAUUUUAACUAUAAACAUUCAAAUGUUCAAACUACAAUUGCUGCUGAUAUUGAACUUAUAUUAUAAACAUUCAAAUGUUCAAACUAUAGCUGUUUGCGGUCAACCCGAAAUAGCAAAAAAUAUUUGUAUUGCUCAUGUUGUUGUACUUGCUGCUUUGUUGUUGGGUCUGCCCUGCUUGGCGACCCAUGCUGCUUUUAUUGCCACGACCAAAAACGCCAAACAAUAAAAAUCAAAUUACACCAUUACUUGUGUUUUGUAAUUUCUUCUAUAUAGAUAAUAGCAUCUAUAUGCAUGUUAUAUAGAUGCCUUUAUCUUAUGAGGAAAUUGCGGUGUUCUUUUUGUUCGGGCUCGAUAUUGAAUCGGGCUCGGUAUACAAAUCCUUUUCAAAAUCAACCAGGGCUGAAAGGUAGCAAAAAGUUUAGCUCGCUCAAUUUUUCAAAAAAUUAUUACAAUCUUUUUAACUUAAGUUUUACCCAACCCACCCUUCCCCUAUUGUAAAAAAGAUACUGCUUUCGGUUUUUCCAAUAUAUUUUUCAGAUUGGUAAAUGCUGAUAUCUUGGUGCUGCAUGAAGUAUAACUGUCGUGGCAAACAAAAUGACUGUGCAGUGAUCAAAGUGUGGAACUUGAAGCUUAACAUGCGCCUGUCCUCCAACUUUGGUGACAAGUUUGUGUAAAUGGCGUCUGCAUUUGUCCAUUGAACUGAUGUAACCAGUUUGUGUAAACAACAUGAGAGUCUGUCCAUUCGCUGAUGCGGCUAGUUUGUUGAAAUGGCAUGUGCGCCCGUCCAUUCAACUGAUGUGACAAGUUUGUGAAAUAAUUAACAAAUAUAUUGUUCGCGGUUAACCCGGAACAAUCAAAUGCUAUUGAUUUAUGCUGCUGCUCAUUUUGUGCUUGUUGCUGCUGCUGCUACCAUAUUGCAUUUUAACUAUAAACAUUCAAAUGUUCAAACUACAAUUGCUGCUGAUAUUGAACUUAUAUUAUAAACAUUCAAAUGUUCAAACUAUAGCUGUUUGCGGUCAACCCGAAAUAGCAAAAAAUAUUUGUAUUGCUCAUGUUGUUGUACUUGCUGCUUUGUUGUUGGGUCUGCCCUGCUUGGCGACCCAUGCUGCUUUUAUUGCCACGACCAAAAACGCCAAACAAUAAAAA